GUCUUGUCCAAAAGUAGUAGAUUAUGUAAAUGGAUUGUUCAUAAUCUGUUGCAGGUUAAUAUCCUUGUUCUUGUUUUCCCCCCUUCUCACUACUGCACUAGACUAGUGUUUU
rnacentral:Y_RNA from 1 species